CACAUUCACUGAUGAUUUUCUGCACAUUAAAAAAAAUUCAGAGAAUAACGUUCUAGACAACUUGAUAGAAGCAAAGACAAGUCUAUAAACCACCUGAUCCUCCCAUUAGUCCUUGGGGUAAGGAAGGGGGUUGCACCGAAAAAAAAAUGCAGGGUUAAGAGCCUGGUGCUCCAUCAGUGGAUAUAAAUCAAAUUUGUGCAUACUUAAGUUCACUUAUUAAAUGAAUCCUUGGAUAC
rnacentral:misc_RNA from 1 species